AUUGAACGCUGGCGGCAUGCUUUACACAUGCAAGUCGAACGGCAGCGCGGGCUUCGGCCUGGCGGCGAGUGGCGAACGGGUGAGUAAUACAUCGGAACGUGCCCAGUAGUGGGGGAUAGCUCGGCGAAAGCCGGAUUAAUACCGCAUACGACCUGAGGGUGAAAGCGGGGGAUCUUCGGACCUCGCGCUAUUGGAGCGGCCGAUGGCAGAUUAGCUAGUUGGUGGGGUAAAGGCCUACCAAGGCGACGAUCUGUAGCUGGUCUGAGAGGACGACCAGCCACACUGGGACUGAGACACGGCCCAGACUCCUACGGGAGGCAGCAGUGGGGAAUUUUGGACAAUGGGCGAAAGCCUGAUCCAGCAAUGCCGCGUGUGUGAUGAAGGCCUUCGGGUUGUAAAGCACUUUUGGCGGGAACGAAAAGGACUGUCCCAAUACCACGGUUCGAUGACGGUACCCGCAGAAUAAGCACCGGCUAACUACGUG
rnacentral:rRNA from 1 species